UGAAGAUCAUGGGUUGAGCUCAAGGUUGUGAAAAGCGAGCGCUUUUGCGCUUAAAGCGAGAAGCGAGGUGCAGCUCAACCCUUGUGCUUUUCUACUCUGAAGCAAGGCAUUGGUAAAUAAGCGCGCGCUUUAGCCACAGAAGCGUGAAGCGAGGAAAGUGGGGAAGGGCACUUCAGCACCUAGGGUUUUUUAAAUAAUUUUUUAAAGUGUUUUAACUUAAAACACUCUUCUCGCUUCUGUUUGGACUCUUACGACUGCUUCUCCUCAUCUGUUUACGCCUCUUUCAAGUCUCAAGGUUAGUUUUUUCUUCUCUGCUUCUCUUCCUUCUCUUCUCUUCUCUUCCUCUUCUUAUUUUCUCUCUUUGACCUGCUGCUACGACUGCCAGUUUCUCUUCUUUUCUUUUAUUUUUUCAAUUCUUCAUUGGGUUGCUCUUUUUCUCUUCUUCUUUUCUAUCUUUUUUCAGUUCUUCGAUUGGGCUGCAAUUUUUUAUCUCUGUUUUGUAAUUUCUUUCACUGUUCUUCCCUGUUUUUGUCUCUGUUCUUCAAUUUUUUCUCUAUUUUUUAAAGUUUUUCUAUGUUCUGCUCUGUUUUUUUCAUCUCUGUUGAUUGUUCUGGAAUUUAUUUUUUUGUUGUGAUUGUAGUAAAUUCUGUUUUUUGAUUCAAUGGCAUCAAGCCAAAAAAAAAGAUCCAGCUUGGGCGUAUGGAGUUGCAAUGGGCAGUAACACAAAAGUCCAAUGUAUCUUUUGUAAAGCUAUAUAUAACGGUGGAAUACAUCGUCACAAGAAACAUCUAAUUGGUGGUUAUAGAGCUGUCAAAAUAUGUCCAAAUGUUCCGGAUUCUGUUAAGGAAGAAAUGAGAGAGUAUGUUGCGAAAAAAAAUGAGUUAAAAAAUCCAAUGAGCUAUGGAGCAUCUAUGGUUAAUCUUGUUGAUGAAGAUACUCAAAUGGAUGAGGAUGAUGUUGAUAUGUCAAUGAGGCCGCCUCCCGCAAAAUGUCAAAGAAAGAUUUCAACUAGUGGAAGUGGAUCAUCCACUGCUAGCAAUGUGAAAGGUCCUCUCAAUCUUUAUUUCUCUCAAAAUGAAAAGGGGGUGAAGCUUCUACUCUAGAUUCUUGCAGGAAGAAAAUGCAGGACCGUGCUGUAGAUGCUUUUGCUAGGUGGAUGUAUGAUGCUUUCAAUUGUGUAAAUUACACCGAGAGUUUUAAUGAAUUCAUUGAGUUCGUAGGCCAAUAUGGCCCAGGAAUGAAGCCCCCCCACCUAUCACGAAGUAAGAGUUCCUUGUCUGAAAAAAGGAGGUGGAGAAGAGAAACAAGGUGUAAUGGCAAACUUAUGGAUGUUCCAUAAUGAUGGAUAAAUGGACAACAAAAAAUGGGAAAAUGGUCAUUAAUGUUUUGGUGAAUUCUCCUAAAGGGAGUGUGUUUCUUGAAUCUUAUGACGCUAGUGACUCUUCUACCGAUUCCAAUAAGAUGUUCAACUUGUUUGAGAAGACUAUAUUGAAAAUUGGGAAGGAAAAUGUUGUACAAGUUGUUACUGAUAACGCAAGUGAGAAUAAAAAAGCGGGCGACAUGUUGAAGGGAGUGUUCCCGAACAUUUUUUGGACUCCUUGUGCUGCCUAUUGUGUCAACUUGAUGUUUGGUGACAUUUUCAAGUUAGCCCCAUAUUCUACAGGUGAACAAGUGGUUCUAGUUUUCUUUUUUAACCUUCAGGCUAAUUGUUUAUACUUAUAACUAUGAAAAUUUGUUUUUCUACAGUUUUUGCUAAGACUAUUAAUAUACGUUCUUACAUUAGUCAGAGGCCAUUGUUGUUGAACAUGAUGAGGAGAUACACAAACCAAAGAAAUUUGGUGAAACCGGCUAAGACAAGAUUCGCAACAACUGUCAUGACUUUUGCAAAUUUUUUACUUGCAAAAGAAAAACUUGAGAACCUUGUUCAUGUCAACUGAAUGGAGUGAAAGUAUCUAUGCAAAGGAAGCUCUUGGGAAAGAAGUUGCGAGAUAUAUUGUUGGUUCAUAUUUUUGGAAUGACUGUGUUCAAGCACUUAAAGUUAGUAAUCCUUUGGUUACUGUACUUUGUUUGGUGAAUGGGGAGAAACAACCACCAAUGGGCUACAUUUAUGAGGCCAUGGAUAAGGUCAAAGAAGCUAUUGAAAAGGCAUUUGAAAAAGAUAAGAGGAAAUAUGGGAAAUGUUUUGAAAUCAUUGAUAAAAGGUGGACGGAUCAACUUAAUCAACCUUUGCAUGCAGCCACACAUAUUUUGAACCCCAGGUUCUUUUAUAUAAAAAACAAGAAGAAGGCUUUAGAUAGCAAAGUGUGGGCAGGAUAUCAUGCAUGUAUUGCGAGGAUGGUGCCGGAUGAUGUCUUGCAAGACUAAAUAGGGGAGGGGCUUGGUAAGUACAUGGCAACAAAUGGAAUACUUGGAUUACCUCAAGCUAUUAGAGCCAGAACUAAAUUGUCACUACUUAAUUGGUGGAUGCAAUUUGGUCAUGGAGUUCUAAACUUGAAAGAAUUUGCUAUUAGAGUUCAAAGUUUAACUUGUAGCUCAUCCGGAUGCGAGAGGAAUUGGAGCGUGUACGAACAAGUGAAAAGCUAUAUUAAAUUAUUACUAAACUAAAGUGUAUCUCAAUUUUCCUAAGUACUCCUCUCAAUUACUUUCUAAAACUAUGUGCAGAUUCAUACUAAGAGGAGGAAUAGGCUUGAGCUAAAGAAACUCAGUGAUCUAGUGUUCGUUAAAUAUAAUAGAACAUUGACACAUUGUUACAAAGCUCGUCAUACAAUUGAUCUAAUUUUUUUGAAUAACAUUGAUGAAGCAAAUGAAUGGUUAACUGGAGCCCCCCAAAAUCAUGAAGAAGAAGAAGCAGUAUAUGAAGGAGAAGGUCUCACUUUUGGUCAUGGUGCUGUGGCAAGUGGAGUUGAGGAGGAUAUGUAUGAUUUUAGGAGGAGUAAUUUAAGGAGCAAGGAAUAUUCAUAUUUCUUUUCACUAUUUUUAUUCUCCAUUUCGGGCGAUAACGGUCAAAUACUGCUGUAGUUUUAAUUACUUUUAUUUUGUUGUUGAUCUGAAUAGACAUAAUCUAUUGGUUCAAAGUAUUUUUGAAGGAUCGACAGAUCUAGAGUGAAAUCCGACCUUUCAUUUGGUAUUUGACUUUAUUUUAACCAUUGAUUGUUGUUUCAUGUAACAAGCAUUGAGAUUUUUUUUUACAAAUCCCACAUCGGUGGGGAUGAGAUUUUUUUUAUUUAGGGGUUCUAUUUCUACCAAUAGAACCCCAAUUUGGCAUUUGACAAAAAAGAGAAAGCAACCGAAAAUCUCUUUGUUUGAAAAACAAUCCGAAUACCUAGGGUUUUCUAGCUUAUUGCUUAACAACCUUUAAUUUGUGGAUUGUGUUUAAGUUUUAAAGUAUUAUAAGUGUGUGCGGUUCAGUGUGGAGGAGAAAGCUCUUAGGUUCAUUCUCUUCAAAGGCUGCGACCCCAAAAGAGUGUUUCAGGUGAUUGAUUGCAACAUGUUCGGAGAUGUGCGGUGCCUAAUCUAAAGGCCUCAUCCCAUUUUAUUUCGGGAUGGAGGUUGAGUUUUAUAGUGUUGUUGUAAUCCGUAUCAUUUAGCUGCUCUUGUACGAGUCUAGACCAGGUUGUGGGAACCUGAAAAGAGUCUUCAUUUAUUUAACGGUUGUAAAUAUUCUCAAAUUUGGAGUUUAUUAGUUAAUGAUUUCAGCUGUUAAUUGUAAUUAGUUAUUGGAAUAUUCAAAUUGUCUUUACUUGAUUAAUGUGGUAUUUAUUGAGGGUUCGCCUACCAAG